GACGAACGCUGGCGGCGUGCUUAACACAUGCAAGUCGAACGGUGAAGCGAGUGCUUGCACUCGUGGAUCAGUGGCGAACGGGUGAGUAACACGUGAGUAACCUGCCCAUCACUCUGGGAUAAGCACUGGAAACGGUGUCUAAUACUGGAUACGACCAACCCUUGCAUGGGGUGUUGGUGGCAAGAUUGAUCGGUGAUGGAUGGACUCGCGGCCUAUCAGCUUGUUGGCGGGGUAAUGGCCAACCAAGGCGACGACGGGUAGCCGACCUGAGAGGGUGACCGGCCACACUGGGACUGAGACACGGCCCAGACUCCUACGGGAGGCAGCAGUGGGGAAUAUUGCACAAUGGGCGAAAGCCUGAUGCAGCGACGCCGCGUGAGGGAUGACGGCCUUCGGGUUGUAAACCUCUUUCAGCAGGGAAGAAGCGAAAGUGACGGUACCUGCAGAAGAAGCACCGGCUAACUACGUG
rnacentral:rRNA from 1 species